rnacentral:rRNA from 1 species
AUACGUAGGGGGCGAGCGUUGUCCGGAAUGAUUGGGCGUAAAGGGCGCGUAGGCGGCCCGGUAAGUCUGGAGUGAAAGUCCUGUUUUUAAGAUGGGAAUUGCUUUGGAUACUGUCGGGCUUGAGUGCAGGAGAGGUAAGUGGAAUUCCCAGUGUAGCGGUGAAAUGCGUAGAGAUUGGGAGGAACACCAGUGGCGAAGGCGACUUACUGGACUGUAACUGGCGCUGAGGCGCGAAAGUGUGGGGAGCAAACAGGAUUAGAUACCCUGGUAGUCCACACUGUAAGCGAUGAAUGCUAGGUGUAGGGGGUAUCGACCCCUUCUGUGCCGCAGUCAACACAAUAAGCAUUCCGCGUGGGGAGUGCGGCCGCAAGGUUGAAACUGAAAGGAAUUGACGGGG